rnacentral:rRNA from 1 species
GACGAACGCUGGCGGCGUGCUUAACACAUGCAAGUCGAACGGAAAGGCCCUGCUUUUUUGGGGUGCUCGAGUGGCGAACGGGUGAGUAACACGUGAGUAACCUGCCCUUGACUUUGGGAUAACUUCAGGAAACUGGGGCUAAUACCGGAUAGGAGCUCCUGCUGCAUGGUGGGGGUUGGAAGGUUUCGGCGGAUGGGGAUGGACUCGCGGCUCAUCAGCUUGGUGGUGGGGUAGUGGCUUACCAAGGCUUUGACGGGUAGCCGGCCUGAGAGGGUGACCGGCCUCAUUGGGAUUGAGAUACUGCCCAGACUCCUACGGGAGGCAGCAGUGGGGAAUAUUGCGCAAUGGGCGGAAGCCUGAUGCCGCAACGCCGUGUGCGGGAUAACGGCCGUCGGGUUGUAAACCGCUUUCGCCAGUGACGAAGCGUGAGUGACGGUAAUGGGUAAAGAAGCACCGGCUAAGUACGUG